CAAGACGGCGUGCAUAGCAUGCAGUCGAACGUGAUCCGGAGCUAUAGCAAUAUAAUUCCGGUGAAAGUGGCGAAAGGGUGAGUAACACGCGGGCAACCUGCCCUUCAGUUGGGGAUAGCUCUGCGAAAGCGGAAUUAAUACCGAAUGUGGUCGCCCCGGGCAUCCGGGGCUGUCCGAAGCCGGGGAUCCGAAAGGACCUGGCGCUGGAGGAUGGGCCCACGUACUAUCAGCUAGUUGGUGAGGUAACGGCCCACCAAGGCUAUGACGGUUAGCUGGUCUGAGAGGAUGGUCAGCCACACUGGGACUGAGACACUGCCCAGACUCCUACGGGAGGCUGCAGUCGAGAAUCAUUCGCAACGGGCGAAAGCCUGACGGUGCGACGCCGCGUGCAGGAUGAAGGUCUUCGGAUUGUAAACUGCUGUCGUGAGGGAGCAACGGCCGCCGGGAUAACACCCCGGAGGCGUGAUAGUACCUCAGGAGGAAGCCACGGCUAACUCUGUGCCAGCAGCCGCGGUAAUACAGAGGCGGCGAGCGUUGUUCGGAUUUACUGGGCGUAAAGGGUGCGUAGGCGGUUCCGUAUGUCGGAUGUGAAAUCUCACGGCUCAACUGUGGAAUGGCAUCCGAAACUGCGGGGCUGGAGUACCGGAGAGGAAAGCGGAAUUCUAGGUGUAGCGGUGAAAUGCGUAGAUAUCUAGAGGUACACCGGUGGCGAAGGCGGCUUUCUGGACGGAUACUGACGCUGAGGCACGAAAGCUGGGGGAGCAAACAGGAUUAGAUACCCUGGUAGUCCCAGCCCUAAACGGUGCGCACUUGGUGUGAGCGGCAUUGUCCCCGUUCGCGCCGGAGCUAACGCGUUAAGUGCGCCGCCUGGGGAGUACGGUCGCAAGAUUAAAACUCAAAGGAAUUGACGG
rnacentral:rRNA from 1 species